GCUUUUAUAGCUUAAUGGUAAAGCAAUGUACUGUUAAUGCAUCUUAUUCUAGUUCGAGUCUAGAUAAAAGCG
rnacentral:tRNA from 1 species